UUCCCGCCGCCCGCCAAAGCCGCCUCCGGCAAGGACCCGGCCGGCGCCACCGCCUCUUCCCCAGCGGCCCGCCCACGGCCAGGCGCGCCCUGUCCUCCCUCCCCGCGCUCUGGCCGUGGCCCGCCGGUGCGCUCCUCCUCCCUUCAUCCGGGGCCCCGGGUCGUGCCUCCCGCCUCGCCUCGCCUCCUCACGCCUGAUUUGGAUUCACCCGUCCUCGAUUCGCCGCCCGUUUAGGUCUAGAACCGCGCCCGAUUUGGUUUCUGCUCGUGCUCGAUUCGUCAGUUUGGAGUCGCGCCUGCUUUGAUUUUGCUCGUCCUCGCUGUCGCGCGUUUGGGGUCGCCGUCCGUUUUGAUUUGCUCGCCGCCUUCGUCCGUUUGGAGUCGCCGUCCGGUUCGAUUUUGCUCGUCGUCGCCGUCCGUGUGGAAUCGCGUCCGGUUCAAUUUUGCUCGCCCUCGCCGUCGUCCGUGUGGAGUCGCGUCCGAUUCGAUUUUUCUCGUCUCCGCCGUCGUCCGUGUAGAGUCGCGUCCGGUUCGAUUUCGCUCGUCCUCGCCGUUGUCCCGAUGCGCUCGCGUGUUCUUGGCCCGUCUCGCCUCGUCGGAGGUCUCCGUCUCGUUUGCGAACUAGCAAUUCUUCCUUUCUGCGUGCGAUUCUGUUAUCCGAGAGGCACUCCGGGUCCUGGGUUCCGUGUUCGCGUCGGUUGCAGGAACGAACGAGGUCUGCUUUCGAAAUUGGAUUACGGCCGGAGACGGGGAGCGAUGUUUGUUUAUCGUGCUAGUUCAGACCGGUUCCUAGGUUACGUCACCUACGUUGCUCUCUUGUGAUACUCUGUCAAUUCUUGGCCCUCUGUCAGUUCUUGUUGGCCCUCUGUCAAUUCUUGACUUCCAGGGUCCGCUAAUUCUUGAGUUCUUGUUGUACCGGUUAGGCCUUAGGCGUGUGUACUCUCAUCUUAGAUGGGGUGGUUCCUUAGUUCUGAUGGUGUAUACUAUUUAUGUUCUUUCCAAUUUGUUUCUUUUUUUAUCAUGCUUUGCUUUGUUUUGCCUGUUGCUUGACUAAUUGAACACCUGCUGCUUGACUAAUUGAACACCUGCUGCUGCUACUGUUGGACAAAGGUUCCUUCUUUUCUUCCUGAUGUUGCUAUUUCCAUCGAAGUACUCAUAGGAGUUCUAGAUGAGCUGCUGCUAGUUAGUUCCCCUUAGACUACAUUCUAGAUUGCAUAGCAUAACUCAAGAAUUUUGUCAUUGCACACAUGUGCACAUAUAUAUCUGUUGUGUUCAUGACUCCAGAAUUUAUUUAUCCAUGAGAGCACGUUCAUCACAUGUUUAUGCGCAUGUUUAUUUAUCCAUGAAUUCUGUCGUGUCCCUUUCCUUUGGACAAAAAUUUCAACAAACCUAUAACGUGGACAUGUGCUGCUUGUUUUCUUGUGAUGAUGGUGAUCUAGUUGACUAGCCCAACUCUUAUGCUCUGGCAUUUGUUAAUCCUCAGUUACUGUGCUUGAAAACUUAUUGCUUGUCAUGUUAAAUUUUAUGGCAUCAACUCGGUAUUGUGAUAAGUGACCUAGUACUCCGUAUUUGUUUAGUGUAGACAGCUAACUUCUUUUUUCUUAAUUUUUUAGUGAUAUGCGUGUUCUGCUAUGUCUUAUGUUGAUAGUAUAUUCUUUUUUUUGUAUUACUCAUGUUCAGUCACUGGAAUAAUGCUUUUCUUGAUUUGCCUAGACUUUGUGACAAUUAAUUUAUAGUGCGAUCAUUGAGUUUCUGACAUCCUAUUGCAUAAAAUUCUGUUGUAAUGUUUGUUGGAUCAUUGAGUAGUUAAUAUUGAUUCUGAGUUUGUUGGAUCAUUGAAAUUCUACGUGCGCUUUUGUUAUCUGAGAGACACUCACGAUCCCGCAUUUCGUGUUUGCGGCAGAGCGAUGAACGAUUACGUUUUGCGUUCCUGCGUUUUGUGUCUGCCGUCUGGUUUUGAAUUUGGAUUAUGGAGACGGGGAGAGGCCAGAGUAAGGUCAGUUUCAGAUCGGUUCCGUCGCUGCGUUGUUCGUCGGUGAUUUCCAGACCUCAAACGCAUGCGUCCUUGUGAUACUCUAGUUUGGCUCGUGGGUCGUUACAGUUGUUCUUACGUUCCCAAUGUCUGUCUUCCCAUAUAUGGGGAUGCGUUCAGAGGUGCAAACCAUGUAGGCCGUGGUGUGUUUAUACUAUCUAUGGUGUGUUCUACACUAUCUGAUGUGGAACGUAGAAAUAUUGAUAUCACUUCUGUGCUAGUAUACUAGAUAUGGUGUGUUUUAUCCAAAUUAUUAACCACAUCUCUUAAAAUUUUCCUUGAGUUGGUACAUGUUUAUAUGCCAAGAGUGAUUGAUGUCUUGACGAAUAUAAUCAUUUAUGCUAACUUGGUAUUGGUAGUUCCUGAGGUAACACACCAGUACUUGUUUACUGCAGACAAUUGACUAUUCUUUUUUCUGAACUUUUUUGUGAUAUGUGUGUUAUGUGGAUAUCAUAUUCUAAUGCUUUUCGAAGUAUUUAAGGUACAGACUUGUGGAUCUGGACAUGUCACAUUUGCUCUUUAUUGGGUUGCUAAGGACACUGAACAGUUUGGCUGGGCCACUGCACGGCCUGGCUAAUCAGGAAGUGUUGCUAUGGAUCAAAUCUGUAAUGGAAGAGACUGGGAGUAACAUUACAACCGACCAAGUAAAGAAUAUGUAUGGAAGACACUGAAGAGUGGAAAGGUUGUAGUGAUUAGAGAGAAGCUUGCAGAACUGUAUGAAUCUGAACAACAAUGGUUGAGAGCAGCACAAAUGCUUAGUGGCAUUGACUUGGACUCAGGAAUCAGGAUGCUUGAUGACACAAACAAAUUAUCCAAGUGCGUCCAGAUUGCACGACUCUAUUUGGAGGAUGGUGAUGAUGCAGUGAAUGCUGAAGCCUUUAUCAACAAAGCCUCGUUUUUGGUUACAAACAGCAACCAGGAAAUUCUGAACUUACAAUACAAGGUCUGCUAUGCGAGAAUUUUAGAUCUAAAGCGUAAAUUUUUGGAAGAUGCACUUUGAUACUAUGGUAUCUCUCAAAUUGAGGAACACCAAAUUGGGGAUGAGCAAGUUGUGUUUGGAACUGAUAGUGCCUCCAUAUUUUGUUCUCAAAAAUCUUGAUGGAACAUGUUUCUUAGUGCUGCUGUAUAACAUGCACAAUGUUGGCUGGUGCUGGCCCACAACGCUCUCGUGUUCUUGCUACAUUGUACAAGGUUGUUCCUGGCUGUGGUCACGGAGUUCUACAUAAUACAGACCAAAAAUAUUCAUGCCAAAGGGAAUUCGCAUUGAAAUAUUUACCCGAGGACCCACUUCCCCAACUGAAUCCUUCAUCUAACUGCAUGGGUUCUCUUCGGUUCGACAGUCUCAGUGCAACAUAUUAUUAUUCCCUUUCAGGAACGAAGAUCUGAAUCACCCUCACCCCUCUAGAGAAAUCAGUUUACUCAUUCAAGUUCUGGAAUUUCUUUAUAGUUUUCUGAGUUACUUCGGUCUUGCAUGUAUUAGCUUUCUCUUUGUGCCCCUAUCUAUGCCUGUUUUGUGUGUGCAAGCGCUCCAUUCUGUGUGGGCGUGUGACUUGAUGGUGAAUAUGUGUGUGGCUUGACUCUCUGUGUGUGGCUUGAUUAUGUGUGUGGC